AGACCAGACUCCUACGGGAGGCAGCAGUGGGGAAUAUUGCACAAUGGGGGAAACCCUGAUGCAGCGACGCCGCGUGAGCGAUGAAGUCUUUCGGUAUGUAAAGCUCUAUCAGCAGGGAAGAAAAUGACGGUACCUGACUAAGAAGCCCCGGCUAACUACGUGCCAGCAGCCGCGGUAAUACGUAGGGGGCAAGCGUUAUCCGGAUUUACUGGGUGUAAAGGGAGCGUAGACGGCUGUGCAAGCCAGAUGUGAAAGCCCGGGGCUCAACCCCGGGACUGCAUUUGGAACUGUGUGGCUGGAGUGUCGGAGAGGCAGGCGGAAUUCCUAGUGUAGCGGUGAAAUGCGUAGAUAUUAGGAGGAACACCAGUGGCGAAGGCGGCCUGCUGGACGAUGACUGACGUUGAGGCUCGAAAGCGUGGGGAGCAAACAGGAUUAGAUACCCGAGUA
rnacentral:rRNA from 1 species